CCUCUCUUCUCAUUCGCCCUCCUCUCCGUCGCCAUUCCUGGCCAGUCCCGUCCUCGCCUCUCCCUCUCCUCCCUCGGCUUUGGUGACAAGCAUGAGGUAUGAGAUAUUUGCUACCAGGCCCAAACAAGGCAUCGGCGAUUUGUGUGAUUGCUAUUCUCGACCACCGGAUUUUGCAUAGCGACGAAAAUAACCAUUCCCGACCCUUCUCUCCCCUCUCGUCUUCUUUCCGAUUGGUGGUCGGUGGGCAGAAGGGGGACAUGAGAGACGCCUUAAGCUUCAGUGCAGCAGCAGCGGCAACUGUACCGAAAUUACCAUUCUGCCAACUUGGUUCAUUCCCCUUUCUUGAUCUUACUAAACCCACUCUCCUCCCUUAUAAAACCUUCUAUUCACAUCCCCUCCCCUCUUCUUCUCAUCCUCCCCAUCAUCAUCUGCCCUCUCGGAAUCCCAUUUCCGCCUCUCUCCGGUUCGUCGUCGCCGCCGCCGCCGCCGCAGAGCAAGCAGCAUCCAUGGCGGCGCCAUCCGCUGCAGAGUCCAAGCCCUUCUCCGUGCUUUUCGUUUGCCUCGGCAACAUCUGCCGAAGCCCUGCCGCGGAGGCCGUGUUCAGAGACCUUGUCCGCAAGAGGGGAUUGGAGUCCAAAUUCUGGAUCGAUUCCGCCGGCACCAUCGGCUACCACGAAGGUAAUCCAGCGGACUCAAGGAUGAGGGCAGCAUCCAAAAGGCGUGGGAUCGAGGUGACUUCGAUCUCGAGGCCGAUUCGCCCCUCCGAUUUCAAGGAGUUUGAUCUCAUACUAGCCAUGGACAUG